rnacentral:rRNA from 1 species
GGAUAUAGCUGGUUCUCCCCGAAAUAGGUUUAGGCCUAGCGUUGAGGUUAGCACAUUGGAGGUAGAGCACUGAAUAUGCGAUGGCGGCGCCUAGCCGUACUGAGUGUAAUCAAACUCCGAAUGCCAGUGGUAGCAUACUCAGCAGUCAGCGUAUGGGUGAUAACGUCCGUGCGCGAGAGGAAAAGAGUCCAGAUCGCCAGCUAAGGUCCCCAAAUAUAUGCUAAGUGGGAAAGGAUGUGGAGUUGUCAAAACAGCUAGGAGGUUGGCUCAGAAGCAGCCAUCCUUUAAAGAGUGCGUAAUAGCUCACUAGUCUAGUGACACCGCGCCGAAGAUGUACCGGGGCUAAGCAUAUUACCGAAGCUGCGAAUCUUGUUUACAAGAUGGUAGGGGAGCGUUCCAACAGGGCUGAAGGUCGAUCGUGAGGACGGCUGGACUGGUUGGAAGUGAGAAUGCCGGUAUGAGUAGCGCAAGAUGGGUGAGAAUCCCAUCCACCGUUUGCCCAAGGUUUCCUGGGGAAGGUUCGUCCUCCCAGGGUAAGUCAGGACCUAAGGCCAGGCCGAGAGGCGUAACCGAUGGACAACAGGUUUAUAUUCCUGUACCACCUAUAUAACUGAUGGAGUGACGGAGAAAGCUAGGAGGAGCCAGUUAUUGGAUUCUGGUUUAAGCGCUUAGGUUAGUAUGCUGGAAAAUCCGUAAUACUGUAUAACUGAAACGUGAUGACGUCGAUGACUUCGGUCAUUUAAGUUCUCUGACGCUAUGCUUCCAAGAAAAGCUUCUAGGGUUAAUUAUAUAGGUGCCUGUACCGAGAACCGACACAGGUGGGCAAGGAGAGUAUCCUAAGGUGAGCGAGUGAACUAUGGUUAAGGAACUCGGCAAAAUGACCCCGUAACUUCGGGAUAAGGGGUGAUCAAGCGAUUGAUCCGCAGUGAAAUGGCCCAAGCGACUGUUUAUCAAAAACAUAGGUUUCUGCUAAUUCGUAAGAAGAUGUAUAGGAGCUGACACCUGCCCAGUGCUGGAAGGUUAAGAGGAGUGCUUAGCUUGACAUUAGUCGAUUUGCGAAGGUACGAAUUGAAGCCCCAGUGAACGGCGGCCGUAACUAUAACGGUCCUAAGGUAGCGAAAUUCCUUGUCGGGUAAGUUCCGACCCGCACGAAAGGUGUAACGAUUUGGGCACUGUCUCGACCAUAGGCUCGGUGAAGUUCUAAUACCUGUGAAAAUGCAGGUUACCCGCGACAGGACGGUCAGACCCCGUGGAGCUUUACUACAGCUUGAUAUUGGGACUUGGUCUAUUAUGUAGAGAAUAGGUGGGAGACUUUGAAGCUAGGACGCUAGUUCUAGUGGAGUCACCUUUGGAAUACCACCCUUAGUAGACUGAGUUUCUAACCUGGCACCAUGAAUCUGGUGUGGGGACAGUGUCUGGUGGGUAGUUUGACUGGGGCGGUCGCCUCCUAAAGAGUAACGGAGGCGCUCAAAGGUUCCCUCAAAAUGGUUGGAAAUCAUUUGUAGAGUGUAAAGGUAUAAGGGAGCUUAACUGCGAGACCUACAAGUCAAGCAGAUGCGAAAGCAGGACUUAGUGAUCAGGCGAUUCAGUAUGGAAUG